GACAGAGGUGCCGAGCGUUAGGCGGAAUCACUGGGCUUAAAGCGUGUGUAGGCGGAUCGUUAAGUGCCUUGUGAAAUCCCACGGCUUAACCGUGGAACUGCUUGGCAUACUGGCGGUCUUGAGCAACCUAGGGGCAAGCGGAACAAAUGGUGGAGCGGUGAAAUGCGUAGAUAUCAAGAGGAACACCAGUGGCGAAGGCGAGUCCCUGGACAACUUCUGACGCUGAGGCACGAAAGCUAGGGGAGCAAACAGG
rnacentral:rRNA from 1 species